CCGCGCCCCUGGUGGGCACGGGGUACUACGGCCCCGCCCAGGCCGUCGGCAGCGCCCUGGUCGGGGCCGGGGUCGUCCUGGGGGCGGGGGC
rnacentral:tRNA from 1 species